rnacentral:rRNA from 1 species
UUAGGAAUAUUCGUCAAUGGGGGAAACCCUGAACGAGCAAUGCCGCGUGAGUGAUGACGGUCUUAUAGAUUGUAAAACUCUGUUGUAAAGGAAGAAUUCUUAGUAGAGGGAAUGCUAUUAAGUUGACGGUACUUUACGAGAAAGCCCCGGCUAACUACGUGCCAGCAGCCGCGGUAAUACGUAGGGGGCGAGCGUUAUCCGGAUUUAUUGGGCGUAAAGGGUGUGUAGGCGGUUUAUUAAGUCUAAGAUGAAAGCCCGAGGCUUAACCUCGGAUUGUUUUAGAAACUGGUAGACUUGAGUGUAGUAGAGGCAAGUGGAAUUUCUAGUGUAGCGGUUAAAUGCGUAGAUAUUAGAAGGAACACCAGUGGCGAAGGCGACUUGCUGGGCUAUAACUGACGCUGAGACACGAAAGCGUGGGGAGCAAAUAGG